rnacentral:rRNA from 1 species
GAUGAACGCUGGCGGCGUGCUUAACACAUGCAAGUCGAACGGAAAGGCCUCUGCUUGCAGGGGUACUCGAGUGGCGAACGGGUGAGUAACACGUGGGUGAUCUGCCCUGCACUUCGGGAUAAGCCUGGGAAACUGGGUCUAAUACCGGAUAGGACAAUGGUUUGGAUGCUGUUGUGGAAAGUUUUUCGGUGUGGGAUGAGCUCGCGGCCUAUCAGCUUGUUGGUGGGGUAAUGGCCUACCAAGGCGUCGACGGGUAGCCGGCCUGGGAGGGUGUACGGCCACAUUGGGACUGAGAUACGGCCCAGACUCCUACGGGAGGCAGCAGUGGGGAAUAUUGCACAAUGGGCGCAAGCCUGAUGCAGCGACGCCGCGUGGGGGAUGACGGCCUUCGGGUUGUAAACUCCUUUCGCUAGGGACGAAGCGUUUUUGUGACGGUACCUGGAGAAGAAGCACCGGCUAACUACGUG